UUUCUAAUAUUCCUCUCUAUUUUCUCCCAUUGUUUAAAUUUCUGCUGCAGAAAUUAUUGAGAGGGUGCUGAAGACACUACUUUUUUUGGGUCUGGUUCAAGUGAUUAAUUGAGAGAUCAAAGUUAGAUGGGAGAUGUAUUGGCAAAAUAGUUAUGGCAUUUCCCUCUAGAAUGUAACACUUUAUGGCAUAGGGUUAAGAAGAGCAUGUUGUUUGGAUCAGAAUGUUUGAGAUUCCAAAAUUAGUGCUUCUACCUGUUACAUGAGU
rnacentral:lncRNA from 1 species